CUAAAAAUCACAAGUUGAAUAUCUAACUUCUCUUUUUUUUUGCUUAAAAACCAUCUUAUUUUGACCAAAGAAAUUACUUACUUGUCCCGUAUAACUUUUACUAAUCCCAAAACCACCCUCAUCAAAUAAAUCCUAAAAUAUCUAACUACUCCCACUGUCAUCUUCUUUCCUCUUCUUCUCCUUUAUCUUCCAUCUUUACCUGCGAGGAUGGAGAUGAAGGUGGAGGCUGGUCUUUGUUGUUAAUAAUGGUGUUUUGACGGUGAUAAGAGCUCAAGUUUUUUUAUGGCUCGCUGGACUUUUGUUUCUCCGGUGGCCAAGUGGGUUUCAGAUGAAGUAUGAGAGAAGACGGCGAAAAAGUAAUCAAUUUUUAAGUGGUAAAAGCGCAUGCAACUCACCGACAAAACACUCAUGUGGUUAUCUCUUAUUAAUGGUGUGUUUGUUACACUUUAAAAUAGUUUAGGGGUAAUAGGAUCCCGUGCAAAUCAAGUGUGUAGUUGAAAAUUCGACUAUAGAUCAGGGGUACUUAUGCAUUUUCCUUAUUUCUUAUGAUUGAUAAAUUUAUUUCUUUAUUGUCAUAUUAA